rnacentral:rRNA from 1 species
GACGAACGCUGGCGGCGUGCUUAACACAUGCAAGUCGUACGGUAAGGCCCUUGCGGGGGUACACGAGUGGCGCACGGGGGAGUAACACGUGAGUAACCUGCCCACAACUUUGGGAUAACGCUAGGAAACUGGUGCUAAUACUGGAUAUGUGCUCCUGCUGCAUGGUGGGGGUUGGAAAGCUCCGGCGGUUGUGGAUGGACUCGCGGCCUAUCAGCUUGUUGGUGGGGUAGUGGCCUACCAAGGCGGCGACGGGUAGCCGGCCUGAGAGGGUGACCGGCCACACUGGGACUGAGAUACGGCCCAGGCGCCUACGGGAGGCAGCAGUGGGGAAGAUUGAACCAUGGGCGCCAGCCUGAUGCAGCAACGCCGCGUGCGGGAUGACGGCCUUCGGGUUGUCAACCGCUUUCAGCAGGGACGAAGCUUUUUGUGACGGUACCUUCAGAAGAAGCACCGGCUAACUACGUG